UCUUCUGUUUUCAGAAAAUCUUGUUGAGAGAAGAAAACAGUACUCCCCUCCUAUAAUACAUACAACUCUCAAGUUCUCAGAGCAGAAGAACUUCAAAGAAAGAGAAGAAUACCACACUGUAUCGAGAGAGAGAGAGAGAGAGAGAGAGAGAGAGAGAGAGGCAGUCAGUGCAAUGAAGAUAACCAAGAAGAAGAAGAAGAAAAGCAUUUUGGGAGUUGGUUUCUCUGUCCCCAUAGCACCAUCAAAGGACCAAAUGGGACAUUGUUUUGAUGGGUGGUUCAAGAUGACAAUGACGGACAGAGCUAUUGAGGAAGCUUCAUUUCUCUUUUGAUUUAUUUUUGUUAGCAAUUUGAUGAUAUUGGCAUGAAUUGGCUCAAUCUUAGUGUAUGUGUACGUAAUAACCUUGUAUUAUACUACAAUUAUUUCAAAGUUCUCAAGGAUUUUCGUUAUGUUGUUUCAGUUUA